AAUUUAAAAAUUAGAAAAAGAGACACCCUAGACUUGCUUCACUCAUGAAGCACCCCCCUGCAGGUGGGGAGCGGGGACUUGAACCCAGACAGACCUUUGUGCGUGGUGUCUACCACCUGGCCCCCAAGAGAUUUCUGACUCGCAUGAUGAGUUAGAAUUUUUCAACAAAUGGAGACUAUAGAACAGGAGGGUCACCAAGAGAAUGGCUGUUUAAAGAAUUUCUCUGACAGACUAAUCGCAGCUGAAGACUGAUGAGCUUGAUAGUGGUCGGGUGAGGCCACACACAGCGAGAUACGGGGAGAGGGGACGACAGUGACAGGUGCUGGUGCACACGUCACAGUGCACAAGGAUCCGGGUUCGAGCACCAGGCCCCCACCUGCAGGUGGGACGCUUCACGAGCAGUGAGGCAGGGCUACAGGCCAAGUCUGCAUUUCUUGCUGGCAAGAGGGACAGUGACACGGCAAUGUUGUAACGGAGAGGCCUCCUGCCUUCUUGGGACAACCCGAGAUUUGGGGUAACUCACAAGGGGUUUAGCCGCUUUGCUGCAUCUCUAGACUCCUAGAAGCUGCCCAGCGCAGGCCACGCUGCCCACGCCCACAGCAGCCACCUUCUCGUUUGCCUUCUCUGUGCGCGGCUGGAAGGUAACUCUGAGCUCUGGGACUCUGUCAGGGGCUGCGGCCGUUCUGAUGUCCCUUGUCCAGGGUGCCCUCUAUCCCCACGUCUCCACCCUGGCUGCUUCUUCUCCGUGAGAUGUCACCACGGCACCCCUGGGGUCGGCAGCGUGUUCUCAGAAAGCCCACCCGACUGACACAUCAGCACUGACAUUCACAGUUCAGCGUCGCGGGACAGAGCCCGCCACGCUGUCCCCACUGGCGCUCAGGACUAAAACUGGCCGCCCCUUGGGGACACGGCUUGUCUCGGACGCUGGUGGGGAGGGCAUCUCGUGACGGGCUGGUCUCCAGAGUACUCUGGGGACAGAGAAACUCAUUCUGCUGCGGUCUCCAAGUUUUAGUUUAUUUUAAUCUUUUAAAGUUAUUUACUGGGUAGAGACAGAAGUCAAGAGAAGGGGGUGACAGAGACAGAGAGAUACCUGCAACACUGCUUCACCACUUGCAAAGCUUUCCCCCUGUAGGUGGGGUGUGGGGACUUGAACCCAGGUCCUUGAGCAUGGUAACGUGUUCAACCAGGUGCGCCACCACCCGGCCCCCAAACAGGUCAAGUUGUGACAGCUCAGCCGCCUGUCAUAGAAAAAAUGACGGGGGGCCAGCUGGGACUGCUGUGUGUGUCCCCCAUGGGGUGUCUGUCCCUCCUGGACCUGAACCUGGCACCCUGCCCCUCCCCCGGGGUCCCCGGUGCUCCUGUGGAACUUUCUCAGCUCCUGUCCCUCCAGAGUGGGGAGGUGGGCACCCCUACGGCAAAGCUCCCAGCGCUUUCAGAGAACUGCCCAAUCGCUGGCAGCCAGUCGUUUCCAAGAACAAGACAGAAGAUUCCACAGACGAAUAAUUAUGAAACAGAGACACGGCUGCCUCCGUCUGGACUUGAAACGAGCCGGUGACCUAGUUACAUCAGUGGCUUCCUCCCCUCUCUGCACGGCCCGUGGGGUGCUGGGGAUGGGACUGUGGU